UAUCGCAUUUUGUUAUUACUUUAUGUGUAAGAUCAACUCGACUGUUUUGUACUAACAGCUGCAAACAUUAGUGAAGGCUUGUUGCACACCCUCUCGCGGGAUGAUAUAAGGGAUCUUUUUCCAGGCCCUGAGCACUUUCUGAGGAGACGAAGUAUCUGGCAAAUGAUUCAUCCUGAGGAGCAGGCCUCCGGACACCCACACACCCAAGUCUUAGUGAUGGAAGUUCUGCAUCCCCUUCGAAUGAGCCACCCCAAACGAACCUCCAAGGAGCCACCCCCCUGAAAGGAGCAACUCCCAAGAAAGUUUUACAGCUACCCAGCCCUGAGUAUGUAAUCUACACAGACACCGAGUUGGAGCAAGUUCGCAAGUAUUACUUCGAAAUGAAAAACAUUGGGAGAGAGGGGGGCUGCACUCUGUCAAAGGAACUUCGGUGCAGACUGGUGAGAAAUACCAUGACCAACAUGGUCUCCAUCCUGAGGGCAACUGUUGAGGCUGAAGAUGUCAGGUAUCCUUCAAAAGAAGAAAUCACUGCGAUGGCUAAGAGACUUGUAGAAUAUUAUCCCAUGCUGCAAGACAAGCCUGGUGGCUCUAAACAUUCAUGGACGAAAACAGAUCUACAGACCAGGAUAGCCAACAGGCUCAAGCAAGGCACUACAGAACCCUGCAGGAAGUGUACAAGAGACCGAAGCCGAAUAAAGACACAGUUGCCCAACUGCUCGACUUGGAAUUUGAGGCUAGAAGAGCAUUCAUCGAUUCAGACACACUCAAGGACCUGGACAGGCCUGCCAAGAUCAUUGAAGAGUAUCCAUGCUUUAAA